UACAGAGGCCUCGAGCGUUAGGCGGAAUCACUGGGCUUAAAGCGUGUGUAGGUGGAUGCCUAAGUGCCUUGUGAAAUCCCACGGCUUAACCGUGGAAUUGCUGGGCAUACUGGGUGUCUUGAGCCACUCAGGGGCUACCGGAACAAAUGGUGGAGCGGUGAAAAUGCGUAGAUAUCAUUUGGAACGCCAAUGGUGAAAACAGGUAGCUGGGGGUGUGCUGACACUGAGGCACGAAGGCCAGGGAGCAAACGGG
rnacentral:rRNA from 1 species